UACAUCCUCUAAUGUGCCCUAUUUUUCAGUAUCCUGACACCUCCUAGGAUGUUGAUGUUGGGAAUUUUUCCUUCCUAUCAAAUACUAGUUCUAAAUCCACAGAACUAUUUGAGAAACCAGAUGCAAGAACUAUGAGAAUGAACACUUCAGAACAAAAAUUCUCUUAGCUUUUCAUCAAGAAGACAGUUCUUUACUUAGUCCAUUAAUAUCAGUUUCAUGUUGUCUGCAAUCGCAUGACAUAUAAGGAGCAAUAAUUAUAUCAUGCUGUGGAUGUGGACAUCAAGAUAAAGAGAGGGUUAAUACCUUAUCUACAAUCAUCCAACAAAUAUGCAGCAGAACCAGUUCUAGAAUGCAAUCAGUGGAAACAGAGCUCUCUUUGUGUUUCUCCUCCUAAUGCAGACCGGUAACUUCAAACAGUGUCAUUUGCACCUGGGACUAAAAGAAUACGUUUAUACAUUAUAGUAGUUCUUAUUGGUUAGCCACUCAACAUUUAUUCUGUCUUUCCACUUGGAAUCAAUGUGUAUAUAUUGUCACUUUUCUGACUCUAUCUUUAACUUAAGC